AGCGAACGCUGGCGGCAGGCCUAACACAUGCAAGUCGAACGGAACCUUCGGGUUCAGUGGCGGACGGGUGAGUAACACGUGGGAACGUGCCCUAUGGUUCGGAAUAACUCAGGGAAACUUGAGCUAAUACCGGAUAAGCCCUACGGGGGAAAGAUUUAUCGCCAUUGGAGCGGCCCGCGUCUGAUUAGCUAGUUGGUGAGGUAAAGGCUCACCAAGGCUACGAUCAGUAGCUGGUCUGAGAGGAUGAUCAGCCACAUUGGGACUGAGACACGGCCCAAACUCCUACGGGAGGCAGCAGUGGGGAAUCUUGCGCAAUGGGCGAAAGCCUGACGCAGCCAUGCCGCGUGAAUGAUGAAGGUCUUAGGAUUGUAAAAUUCUUUCACCGGGACGAUAAUGACGGUACCCGGAGAAGAAGCCCGGCUAACUUCGUGCCAGCCGCCGCAGUAAU
rnacentral:rRNA from 1 species